CGAAAAAUCCCGCUUUUUCAACGUGUCGCGCUUCUCAUCAGGGCUGCGCCGCAUGCUAGUAAUGCUAGUUUGGUUGAGAGUGAAAGCUGUGCUCCUCUCAUACAAUUGAUGAGAGUCUUGGAGGAGGAGCAGAACCUUUGGCUGUGCUUUAUUGCUCAAGUUGGCAAAAAACUGAAUCAGCAGACAGCUUAAUUGUACCCAUAAAGCCUCAGCAAAUGCAGAUCUGGCCAAAUUCACUUUCCAUCUACAGUAAUGGCUUGAGUGCUGAAUACUGUUUUAUGUUAAUGUAUUUAAAACGGCAACUAUCAGGGAACAGUUGACAAGAGAUUGAUUUGUCUCAUCAACAGAUACUUGUUUCAUGUGUGCAUUUAUUAAAAAUGAAUC